CCGACCUCAGAUCAGGCGAGAACACCCGCUGAGUUUAA
rnacentral:rRNA from 1 species